rnacentral:lncRNA from 1 species
GCAUUAGUUCAAUCCUUCUGUUGUUCUGAAACUUCGUUUUCAAAGUACGAAAGCAACGAGACUCCUUUAACGGUUAGCUUCUGGGUUUAAUAGUCAGAAUCAGUAGAAGAUCGCGCGUGCCAGCAAUAAACUUCUAUUUCUUCUCUGCAUUGCCAAAUCCCACAUGAUUUGAUCCCCGUUAGGGACGAAGUGGUAUGACCUUGAUGGGUGAAAUAGAAGAACAUGAAGGGUGUUAACCAGGUCAUUUCACCAUCCAUCAGG